GCCUAAUUGAUGGUGCAGCCGGCAGAGCCCACGCAGCCGCCCUUCCGGUGCGCCUGGAGCGCAGCGCUCUCCGCGGGCUUUGUGGUUUCUGGAUCCAUCCCGGGAUGGGCUUCCGGGAGUUCCGGAGAGGGAGGGGAGAGCCAGAGCGGGGACACUCACGACCCUCGCGCCCCCCCACUCCCACCCCGCUUUCUCCAGGCUUUCUCGUCCUCCUCCUCGCCGCUACAAGUAUUGUGCCUUUCUAUUUGUCUUUCUUCCAUUCCACCCCCCACCCCCCUGCCCUUUGUGUUUUUCCACUCUAUUUCUUUAUAAACUUCUAUUUCUUUCUCUUCUCCUUUUAAUUUAAUUUUAUUUUUUUCCUUUCAUUUUUGGCCCUGCCACUUGGCAAGUGGGCUCUUAUUAAUUCCCCUACCAGGGAUCGCUCUUAUUAAUUCCCCUACCUGUGCCCCGAGCACUGGGAGUGUGGGGUCUUAACCACUGGACCCCCAGGGAAGCCCCUCUCAUCCCCUUUUCAGUUAGCUCACUAGUCUCUUUCCUACUAGUCUUCUCCACUACCACCACCACCACCCCCUCCUUCCCCAGGUUUCUGUCUCCAUCUCCCAUUUCCUUCAGUUUCUAAAAUUAUUAGUGCUGAGCCUGGAAGAGUUUCCAGCUGAUCCUUACACCCUGGAGAAGAUUGCAUUUAAGUUACUCCCACCACCACCAUCUCCGCCUCCAGUUCCUGCAGGCCUGGGCAGAUAGAGAGAUGCCUUUUGUUCUUCUUUGGGUUUCCAGUCCGUAAUAGGGAGCCUGGCACGUAGCAGAUUCUCAGUAAACACUGCCUGAGAUGGUGUCUUCUGUUUCUCAGGGGAAACUGAGGCCAGUAGAGGUUGCCCAACUGCCCUCCCCCCCAACUCUGCAGUCUCUCCCAGCCCCCACCCAGCUGCCAGGAAUGGGACCACCCAUGAGUACAGAACAGAAAAAAAGGGUCCUUUGUUCCAGGAGAUGCUAGAGACCCAGCUGAGAAGAGAAUGAACUUGCAAACUUGAUUCAACCACAGGCCUUGUGCCGUGACCAAUAAAGGAUGCUCCUGCAAGCAGCUCCCCAGCUCUCCCCAGACCUGCCACCACCACCUCCAUCAUCUCCACCUGCCAGUCUGCCUGACUCCAUCUGCAGAGGAGAGACACGGCUGGAAACUGAGAGAGGAGGCUUCACAGGGCCCCACUGCCUGGACCACGGGCGCUGGGUUAGAGCAAGGCAGCCCUUCAUCAUUUCUAGCAAACUCCGUUUCCUACUUGGCAGGGGGCACUGCUCCUCUCUGGGCACCUUGGAGUCUCCUGCCUUCCAGGAAAAACAUCAGGGAAACCUUGGGUCACCUCGCUUGGCUGACAUCACCCAUCUAGACCUCAUCCAGUCCCAGGUCCCGCAAAAACAAAAGCCGUUGGACCUCAAAGGGUUGCCCUUCUUUCAGCCAGAAUACCUCUCGAAAAUGAUCUUCUUGAUGAGAGAGAUCUCUCUGUGCUGAGGUGGGCAGAUAAAUUAAGUUAAAAAAUGGAAAAUAUCAACACACUGCUCAAUCCAGCUCCGCGUUUUAUUUUUUGGCCGCUCCACACAGCAUGGGGGAUCUUAGUUCCCCAGCCAGGGAUCGAACCCACACCCCCUGCACUGGAAACUUGGAGUAGUUCUGACCAUUGGACUUCCAGGAAAUCCACCCCCUCUCCAACCUACUUUUUAAAAAUACACACUUUAAAAAAAGAAAAAGCUGUCAGAAUAUUAGCCAAAAGCAUUCCCUUUGGUUAUGUCUGAGGGUGGGAUGACAGAGGACAUUCUAUGCUCCAUGUUUCUACGAUGUUUUCAUUGAAGGAUUGCUUAUGUAGUCAGGAAUAACAGAGUGUUUGAAAAGGGGAAUGGCGAGGGGUUCUUGGGGUCCUUGAUGUCUUGAGAAGCCAGGUGGGUUGACAGGCAGGAUUCUAGAACAGUUCAUUCAAGAGUCUGAGAGACCACUUUCCCCAGGUUGGGGAAAUUUCAGCCUUUGGUCCAGGACUGAGUCAUCCUGAAGCAGAAAGGAAAAUUGAGUGAUGCUAAAGAAAUCUGAGCACUGAAGAACUGAUGCUCAUGAACUGUGGUGUUGGAGAAGACUCUUUAGAGUCCCUUGGACUGCAAGGAGAUCCAACCAGUCCAUCCUAAAGGAAAUCAACCCUGAAUAUUCAUUGGAAGGACUGAUACUGAAGCUGAGGUUCCCAUACUUUGGCCACCUGAUGUGCAGAGCUGACUCAUUGGAAAAGACCCUAAUGUUGGGAAAGAUUGAAGGCAGGAGGAGAAGGGGACGACAGAGGAUGAGAUGGUUGGAUGGCAUCACCGACUCGAUGGACAUGAGUCUGAGCAAGCUGUGGAAGAUGGUGAAGGGAUAGGAAGCCUGGCGUGCUGCAGUCCAUGGGGUCACAAAGAGUCGGACACGACCGAGUGACUGAACAACAACAGAAGAAAUCAUCGCUUCAUCUCUCUUCUUAAAAGUGUGUGUCUGCACUGCUAUAGUUAUUAAUAAGAUGGAUAACAAGGACCUACUGUACAACACAGGGAACUCUGCUCAAUGUUAUGUAGCAGCCUGGAUGGGAGGGAGUUUGGGGGAGAAUGGAUACAUGUGUAUGUAUGGCUGAGUCCCUUUGCUCUUCGCCUGAAAGUGUCACAACAUUGUUAAUUGGCUAUACUCCAAUAUAAAAAAAGUUCAAAUAAAUUCCUAACGUGAUGCUGUGUCGAGAAGCAUACACAAGAACAGGUGCUAGUCUUUCUGUCCAGGAAGUGGAGCCAGGUGGCCAGGGGUGGUGAGGACCAAGAUAGAGGUUUCACUCUACCUUUUCUGGUACGUUUUGAAUUAUAAACCAUGUGUAUGUAUUACCUACUCAAAAAAAUAAAUAAAAUUUAAACGUGAAAAUCAGGUACUUUCCAAAUAGCACUGUUAAAUCAGUGUACCAUGUGUUAAAUGUACGUACGCACUCAUGGACGAACACAGCCUUUUGAAAACAAUUAAUUUGAGGAUGUUCAUUAAGAAACAUUUGGAAAAUUCAGAAAAGGAGAAAGAAAAUAUAUGUCUAACCCAGAGUCCCGCCACUCAGGGACAUUCACCAGUAAUAUUCUGGCUUAUUUCUUCUAGUCUGUUUUGUUUAGUUGUCAUGUGGUUUGAAUCAUUCUGUGUUAGAGUUUUAGAAAUUGCUUUUUAAAGAUCUAAACAUGGAUAAAUGCUUACAAUGUCAUACCAUGAUAGGACAUUUGAGUCUCCUUCUUAAAGGCUGGUGUUGGGGCUCCCAUUGGUAUUGGCUGGUAUUGGGAAAUCUCAGAAGACAAUUCUGCCCUCCAC
ensembl:lncRNA